GAAUAUUGGACAAUGGGGGGAACCCUGAUCCAGCCAUGCCGCGUAUGUGAGGAAGGCCUUUUGGUUGUAAAGCACUUUAAGCGAGGAGGAGGCUACCUGGAUUAAUACUUUAGGAUAGUGGACGUUACUCGCAGAAUAAGCACCGGCUAACUCUGUGCCAGCCGCCGCGGUAAUACCGAGGGUGCGAGCGUUAAACGGAUUUACUGAGCGUAAAGCGUGCGUAGGCGGCCAAUUAAGUCAAAUGUGAAAUCCCCGAGCUUAACUUGGGAAUUGCAUUCGAUACUGGUUGGCUAGAGUAUGGGAGAGGAUGGUAGAAUUCCAGGUGUAGCGGUGAAAUGCGUAGAGAUCUGGAGGAAUACCGAUGGCGAAGGCAGCCAUCUGGCCUAAUACUGACGCUGAGGUACGAAAGCGUGGGGAGCAAACAG
rnacentral:rRNA from 1 species